AGUCAGCAGGUCUCUUCGUCCUCGCUGGCUUCUCGAACCAGCUGAAGAAAUUGGAGGGGCUAGAUGAGGAGACAUUGAUGCCUCAGAAGACACCACCACCAUCGACAUAUCCUUGUUACUUGAAGGUUUCUUUAGCACAAUAGUUGAAAUCACAAUCAUAAUUACAUAAUAUGUUUAAAUAAUUAUCCCAA